rnacentral:rRNA from 1 species
UAAGUAAAGGAGGGAUCCGAUGAAUUCGGAGUAAAAUUCUAUGUGCAUAUUGAUUAUGACAAUAUGUUUAUAAGUCUUGACUAAUUACGUGCCAGCAGUCGCGGCAAUACGUAUGAGACGAGUGUUAUUCAUCUUUAAUAGGUUUAAAGGGUACUUAGACGGUUUAAUUAGCCAAAGCGGUACAAUUAAUCUAGAGUUUUAUAUAAGAAGGUAGUACUCUUGAGUGUAGUGAUGAAAUACUUUGAUACCUUGGGGACUGGUAAAGGCGAAGGCAACCUUUUAUCUUAAAACUGACGUCAAAGGACGAAGGCUUAGAGCACUAACGGGAUUUGGUACCCCAGUAGUCUUUGCAGAAAAUUCUGAAUGUCAUAGGUUAGGUAAUAGAUAUCCAGGCUAGAGGGUGGAUGUUUAAUAUCUUCCACUUUAAGUACAGGUUGAUAACAGUAUAUACCUAAUGGGUCGGGCGCCAUGCAUCUUCAUCAAAAGAUGCAUGGCACCCGACCAGUGUAUAAUACUGUUGUCGACCUGAGCGUAGAGAGGAAGAUAUUAAA